rnacentral:rRNA from 1 species
GACGAACGCUGGCGGCGUGCCUAAUACAUGCAAGUAGAACGCUGAAGGAGGAGCUUGCUUCUCUGGAUGAGUUGCGAACGGGUGAGUAACGCGUAGGUAACCUGCCUGGUAGCGGGGGAUAACUAUUGGAAACGAUAGCUAAUACCGCAUAAUAGUAGAUGUUGCAUGACAUUUGCUUAAAAGGUGCAAUUGCAUCACUACCAGAUGGACCUGCGUUGUAUUAGCUAGUUGGUGGGGUAACGGCUCACCAAGGCGACGAUACAUAGCCGACCUGAGAGGGUGAUCGGCCACACUGGGACUGAGACACGGCCCAGACUCCUACGGGAGGCAGCAGUAGGGAAUCUUCGGCAAUGGACGGAAGUCUGACCGAGCAACGCCGCGUGAGUGAAGAAGGUUUUCGGAUCGUAAAGCUCUGUUGUAAGAGAAGAACGAGUGUGAGAGUGGAAAGAUCACACUGUGACGGUAUCUUACCAGAAAGGGACGGCUAACUACGU